CAGGGCAGUUACAGCUUGUGUGUGCUUGGGCUUUUGUGCUCCAGUCUCCUGAGGAUUUGAUCUGAUUGUAGUCCCUGUUCUUCCCAGCCUCAGAGAAUGCCAUGGAGCUGAGGUCGCUGGACAUGCACCCCAGAGCAUUCCAUAUUUUUGGGCCAGGGUAUUUCCAAAGAAAACUUCUUUGGAAAUGUUUGCCAUUACCAGGACAGUGAAGUGCUGGCUUCCUUUGUUUAUUCCACAGUGAUGUUUGGAAACCUUUGCUGCUUUAUUUCAUCCUCGGGUUCUUCCAUCAGACUGACCUGGAGUUCAGUUUCAGCACUGAAUUGUGCUUCACUGCAGUCCAGAAAUAUCCAGGAGGUUAUAGAAAAUUUUGACUUCGAGGUCUGUCUUGUCUCUUCCCGUCUACACAAUACCAGAUGACUCAUUUCUUGUAAGUCCUGGUUGUUUCUUACCUGCUCCUUGUGUUAUUAUAAUUUAUAAUAUCCUAUAAUGAAGGUCAUCAUCUUCCUUAAUAAUUAAAUAGGAAUUUACUCCAUCCCUGUGACCUGGAUAAAAAAGUGCAUUCUAAUGCACAUUGGCACUCAAAAUGACAUUUUGAAAGAAGAGUGGACAGUGUAUUAAAACCAAAGAGUGUUUGGCACCAUGCCACUCAUCCAUGCUGCUAGGGAGGGGCUUUGAAGGCACACUACAGACCGGAGAUAGAUCCCAAGAAGUACCCAUCACAUGGGUUCAGACCUCCAAGCUCCUACCUUCAUUACCCCCAGCUUCCUUAUGACUCUCUAGAGCAGCAAACAGACCACGUCCUCUUUUCUGAGCCUGAACUGAGCAGCUGAUACUGUGCCUAAAGGUUUAAGUGCAGUGUGCCUGCC